GUGGGGAAUAUUGCACAAUGGGCGAAAGCCUGAUGCAGCAACGCCGCGUGAGUGAUGAAGGCCUUCGGGUUGUAAAGCUCUGUCUUUGGGGACGAUAAUGACGGUACCCAAGGAGGAAGCCACGGCUAACUACGUGCCAGCAGCCGCGGUAAUACGUAGGUGGCGAGCGUUGUCCGGAUUUACUGGGCGUAAAGGAUGCGUAGGCGGAUGUUUAAGUGAGAUGUGAAAUACCCGAGCUUAACUUGGGUGCUGCAUUUCAAACUGGACAUCUAGAGUGCGGGAGAGGAGAAUGGAAUUCCUAGUGUAGCGGUGAAAUGCGUAGAGAUUAGGAAGAACACCAGUGGCGAAGGCGAUUCUCUGGACCGUAACUGACGCUGAGGCAUGAAAGCGUGGGUAGCAAACAGGAUUAGAAACCCCAGUAGUCC
rnacentral:rRNA from 1 species